AUAUCUCUCUGUACGGGAAGGAUGAGAAGCUUCGACUAAGGUUCGAUUCGAGCGAAAGCGAGAAAGCGUUGCCGCAGGCAACGGCCCGAAGGGCGAAGCGCGCAGCGCUGAGUAAUCCUUCCCCCACCACCA
rnacentral:sRNA from 1 species